UACGUAGGGUGCGAGCGUUAAUCGGAAUUACUGGGCGUAAAGCGUGCGCAGGCGGUUCGUUAAGUCAGAUGUGAAAUCCCCGGGCUCAACCCGGGAACUGCGUCCGAUACUGGCAGGCUUGAAUUCGGAAGAGGGAUGCGGAAUUCCAGGUGUAGCGAUGAAAUGCGUAGAUAUCUGGAGGAACACCAAUGGCGAAGGCAGCUCGCUGGAACGGUACUGACGCUGAGGCGCGAAAGCGUGGGGAGCGAACAGG
rnacentral:rRNA from 1 species